ensembl:lncRNA
CCAAAUUUAGAAAUGAAUGCAAAUAAUCAAACAGAACUUUAUACUUGCAGUUAAUUUACAACAUUUACAAAUUAUCCAAGUGAUUCUGACUGGCACAAAUAUGUUUAAGUUUUGAGAAAUCAAUCAUUUUCAUUGUUGUUUCAGUGAUUGGCAGUUGGUUAUGAGGUUCGACCACUUUGGUCUACCAGUCAUCAUAAGGAGAUUCAUUCACUAACACAGACUCUAAUGUUGACACUGAGGUGGUGGUGAAAUCUCCUCCUCAUGAGGCUCCUGUUGGACGCUUUAUACCCAAACUCAACAGUGGCGCUCAUCUAGUUCUCCCCUCCUUCACCACGCUCAUCUUCAUCCUGGGCCAGCAAUGGACCUUGACCUGAGAGGUUGAAGAUACACAUAAUUAUGAAUAAAACCACAAGAUCUUCAUCUGCCUGGAUGCUUAUGUCUAUCUCCAUAUUGUCUUCCAAGACUGCUGCCAUUUUUCAUGGCAGCAAAUAUCUAAUAUAUUCUUAAAACAUUUUCUCUUACAUACACACGCAUAUGAUCAAGCAUAUCAAUAGUCAUAACUGCUUUUAAUCAUAUUCUCUCAGAUUAAAUAUCACUUAAAUACCACACAUCUAAACCUUCAACCUGUCAGUAAAAUGCAUGACAGAAGCACUUCUCAAGCAUUAAUGGACAAAUACAAUAUCUGAUCAGCACGGAAUGUUCUUGUUAUUAAACACAUACACAGAGAGGAAGAAAUAGAAAAAUUAAAUAUUAGUGUUAUGCUUAAUGUAGUAUGUAUACAGUUAUGAUUCCAUAGUGAAGACCAUAGUGAAGUUUUAAAACCCCCAAACCCCAACCUUUUUAAUAUAACCCACUGGUGCACACAGAAAAACACACAUAUGUCUUUUUAACCAUCAUGAAAUGAUAUCGAUAGAUUCAAUAAAAAUGAAUUAAUUAUCUGUUAAAUAGCUUCAGAUCAAUCUUUUAAAAUCAUCAGGUUUAAAACUUUCAGUUGUUACCCCGCAUCAAAGCCAACGAACAAAAAAAAGAGUAGGUUCAGAUGUGCCAUGUGAUUUUCACAUCACCUCAAGUUUACUUAAAGCAAUGGAAACAUUUAUAUGCAUAAAAUAUAUUCAGUAAUACUGCAGAAUUCAUCUUUGUGUUCAUAUGAGUAAUGUCUUCAUGUUUUAUGUUCAUUUUCAUUGACUAAGUUACCAUUCUUAAAGGACUAGCUAAGUGUCCAUCCACUCUAACUUAUUUUUAAAUUUCAAAUUCCAGAACAGUCACUGCAUCUGAAAACUCAUCUUGAUAGUAAAUAUGUUAGAAUUCUGAUUGCAAAUCAUAGUUUACGCUUCCCAUAUUACUUAAUACUUAAAGUUCCAGCUCUACAAAUAACUUACUUUUUACUGCACUUUUAAAGUGAUUGUAACAGUUAAUAGUAUUUUUAAAUAGCAGUUGGACAUCAGUUUCUGGGACUGGUAAGAAAAUUACUAGUGCUUCUCUUCUGCCUUAUCGUCAUCAAAUGCACAAUGAACAUUAGCAUACCACAUGUAUAAAUGUAUAUAUUUAAGGUCAUUCACUGUUUUGUCUGUGUAUUGCUAUUUUUUUUCCUUUUGUAUAGUGAAAGUUGCAG